rnacentral:lncRNA from 1 species
GUUAUAUAUUAUGUUAUUAUAGGAAUAUAUCUAUGAUCGUUAUUUAAUUAUAUAAUAUAGUCAUAUAAUAUUAUAUUAUUAUAGGAAUAAAUCUAUCUGUGAUAGAUUUAAUGGUCGCUUGAACGUCUUAAGGGUUCCCCGAAAGCAGGAAAGUUCAGAAGAAGCUGCUCAGUGCCCAACAUGAAUAAGGACGAAGGGUGGGGAAUGAUGAGCGUCAAGAACUGGGGCGCACAUACACAGAUGUAGGAGGACUCAGUGACUUCCUUUGUAAUGGUCUUCACAAUCUAUGGGGAGGAUAACUAUUGAAGCCUCCCCAGAGGAGUUUCGCGAGACUCGGCCAGGGAGUUUCCUCGGGCUUCUCUUGGAAAAUGUCCCCUCAUGGGCCGCGUCUCCUCUCUGGGACCAAACUCGGGACGCCCAGGUGCUCCCUGCUGCCGGCCCGACCCUUCUCAGGGAGGCGCAGUCACGGCUUCCGGAAUUCAUGGGAUGACUUCCUCCACUUGUCAAAGUGGGUUCCUGUUCAGGGCCACCUGCAGGCCUAUAAGCCGGGCUGCUUUCCCUUGUGCCCGCCCAGCUCUUCGCAGAGAAGCUGAUGCGGUUCCUCCGGCUCCAGGCAAGAAAGGAAGAAGGCCGGAAAAGACGUGAGCAUCCUCUGUAUGGAGCUCUCAGCGGGGCGUGCUCGGCAGGAGAGCGGAUGGCGCCUGCUCAUUUCAGAGCGAAGGCUUGGAGCAGGAGCUGUUCUUAGCUGGGGGCCGGCCCCAGAGCCCCUCGACCAUGCAUGUCCCACAGACGAUUCCUCUAGAGAAAUGCGGAGGGGGGGAGGGGGAGACGUCCCCUCUGCUUCCACAAGGCCCGACUGUCUCAUUUAAUGAGCAAGUGAACGUCUAUGCAGCAAAACGGAAAUAAGUCUCUUUGUGGCUCUGAGAUAAUGCCCGAGAUUGGACGGGCACGAGGGGACGGGCGGCUCCCGCGUGAUUCCCGUUGGGUGUCCUCGUGCCCAGAGACCGGAAGGCCCUGCUGGAGAGCGGGCCAAAAAGUUUGCACUUUUCCAAAGAGUCAGCGGUUCACGGAGCUCCUCACGGAUGCAUCUCAGUUCAGCCCCCCGCAUGAAGGAAGGUGGAGAGAGAAAGGAAGGAAGGAAGGAAAAAAGGAAAGAAGGAACAAAGGAACAAAGGAAUGA